rnacentral:tRNA from 1 species
GGGCCAGUCAUCCAAUCCGGCUAAGAUGCCGCCUUCGCAAGGCGGAAAUUCGGGUUCAAAUCCCGACUGGUCCA